CGCCUGCCCAGUGAACAAUUAAACGGCCGCGGUACCCUAACCGUGCAAAGGUAGCAUAAUCAUUUGUCUACUAAUUAUAGACCUGUAUGAAGGGCAAAAUGAGGGUCUAACUGUCUCUUAUAAUAAAUCAAUUAAACUGAUCUCCUAGUAAAAAAGCUAGAAUAAUACCAUAAGACCAGAAGACCCUGUGAAGCUUAAAUCAAACUACUAAAUCACAUAGUAAUUACUUUCGGUUGGGGCGACCUUGGAAAAAAAUAGAACUUCCAAGACCCAGUACAACUGACAAUUGAACCAAGUUACUCCAGGGAUAACAGCGCAAUCUUCUUCAAGAGCCCAUAUCAAAAAGAAGGUUUACGACCUCGAUGUUGGAUCAGGACAUCCUAAUGGUGCAGCCGCUAUUAAGGGUUCGUUUGUUCAACGAUUAACAGUCCUACGUGAUCUGA
rnacentral:rRNA from 1 species